rnacentral:ncRNA from 2 species
AAUUGAUUUUCGGGGAGCUUGCGUGAAGCAGGCUGAGAGGGAGCUGUUCGCUCCGACCCGUGACCUGAUUUGGAUAAUGCCAACGUAGGGAGCAAGCAGGAUCUUUGU